rnacentral:rRNA from 1 species
CAGCAGCCACGGUAAUACGUAGGGUGCAAGCGUUAAUCGGAAUUACUGGGCGUAAAGCGUGCGUAGGCGGUUCGUUAAGUCUGUUGUGAAAGCCCCGGGCUCAACCUGGGAAUGGCAAUGGAUACUGGCGAGCUAGAGUGUGUCAGAGGAUGGUGGAAUUCCCGGUGUAGCGGUGAAAUGCGUAGAGAUCGGGAGGAACAUCAGUGGCGAAGGCGGCCAUCUGGGACAACACUGACGCUGAGGCACGAAGGCGUGGGGAGCAAACAGGAUUAGAUACCCCCGUAGUCCCUGUCUCUUAUAA